rnacentral:rRNA from 1 species
GUGGGGAAUUUUGGACAAUGGGCGAAAGCCUGAUCCAGCCAUGCCGCGUGCAGGAUGAAGGCCUUCGGGUUGCAAACUGCUUUUGUACGGAACGAAAAGACUCCUUCUAAUAAAGGGGGUCCAUGACGGUACCGUAAGAAUAAGCACCGGCUAACUACGUGCCAGCAGCCGCGGUAAUACGUAGGGUGCAAGCGUUAAUCGGAAUUACUGGGCGUAAAGCGUGCGCAGGCGGUUAUAUAAGACAGAUGUGAAAUCCCCGGGCUCAACCUGGGAACUGCAUUUGUGACUGUAUAGCUAGAGUACGGUAGAGGGGGAUGGAAUUCCGCGUGUAGCAGUGAAAUGCGUAGAUAUGCGGAGGAACACCGAUGGCGAAGGCAAUCCCCUGGACCUGUACUGACGCUCAUGCACGAAAGCGUGGGGAGCAAACAGGAUUAGAAACCCCAGUAGUCC